AUUGAACGCUGGCGGCAGGCCUAACACAUGCAAGUCGAACGAGUGGCGGACGGGUUAGUAAUGUCUGGGGAACUGCCUGAUGGAGGGGGAUAACUACUGGAAACGGUAGCUAAUACCGCAUACCAUCAAAUGUUCCCCUAUGGGAUUAGCUAGUGGGUGGGGUAAAGGCUCACCAAGGCGUCGAUCCCUAGCUGGUCUGAGAGGAUGACCAGCCACACUGGAACUGAGACACGGUCCAGACUCCUACGGGAGGCAGCAGUGGGGAAUAUUGCACAAUGGGCGCAAGCCUGAUGCAGCCAUGCCGCGUGUAUGAAGAAGGCCUUCGGGUUGUAAAGUACUUUCAGCGGGGAGGCGUUACCCGCAGAAGAAGCACCGGCUAACUCCGUGCCAGCAGCCGCGGUAAUUC
rnacentral:rRNA from 1 species